UACGGAGGGUGCAAGCGUUGUCCGGAUUUAUUGGGUUUAAAGGGUGCGUAGGUGGCCUUAUAAGUCAGCGGUGAAAGUCUGCAGCUUAACUGUAGAACUGCCAUUGAUACUGUAAGGCUUGAGUACUGAUGAGGUAGGCGGAAUUGAUAGUGUAGCGGUGGAAUGCAUAGAUAUUAUCAAGAACACCGAUUGCGAAGGCAGCUUACUAAGGAGUUACUGACACUGAGGCACGAAAGCGUGGGGAUCAAACAGG
rnacentral:rRNA from 1 species